rnacentral:rRNA from 1 species
GACGAACGCUGGCGGCGUGCUUAACACAUGCAAGUCGAACGGAAAGGCCCUGCUUGCGGGGUGCUCGAGUGGCGAACGGGUGAGUAACACGUGGGUGAUCUGCCCCUUACUUUGGGAUAAGCCUGGGAAACUGGGUCUAAUACUGGAUAGGACCAUGCUGUAGGUGGUGUGGUGGAAAGAUUAGUUUCGGUAAGGGAUGAGCUCGCGGCCUAUCAGCUUGUUGGUGGGGUAAUGGCCUACCAAGGCGUCGACGGGUAGCCGGCCUGAGAGGGUGGACGGCCACAUUGGGACUGGGAUACGGCCCAGACUCCUACGGGAGGCAGCAGUGGGGAAUAUUGCACAAUGGGCGCAAGCCUGAUGCAGCGACGCCGCGUGGGGGAUGACGGCCUUCGGGUUGUAAACUCCUUUCAGCCAUGACGAAGCCCUUGUGGUGACGGUAGUGGGAGAAGAAGCACCGGCUAACUACGUG